GUAGAUUCUAUAGUGUCCAUAUGCGUGUGUAAAUUACAUGUUCAUUCAAUUAGAAAUCUUCCUGGAAACACAGAGGGUGAGCUCUUUUAACUUGGAAAUAAAUCGCACGAAUGUACUUUUUACUUCCUAAUUUUUUGGGUCGUUCAAGACUGUGAUUGACAGAUCAUGUUCAAAUGCUAGAAACAAGAAUAACUAUUUUCUCGCUAUAUUUGUUCACCGAGUUAAAUCAGAGUAUAUGGCAAACACUUUAAACGCUUUAUUUUGGCAGGGUAUGCGGUCGAGUUAAGCUGCCACACUUCUUCUGUUGCAGUGGGAUUAAACCAAACGCGGGUGAACAGAAUGGUUGAACCAAUUUAUUAUUUGUGGAUUAUUGCUGCAUCAUGAUUUACAUAGAAUUAAGUUCUCAUGUGUUAGAAACAUAAAUCUGUACUGUACUGUUUAAAUUUAUAGUUCACCUUAAUGCAUCAACCAUGAUAAUUACCAUCGUUAUAAGCUUUCUUUAGUUUCUCGUUUCUGUUUUCCGACCUUCCAAAAGCUGCUAAAUAGAGCAAAUUGCAUAAAUAAUUUUGGAAAUAGCCACAAGUACAUGAAAUGUUUGAUAGAAUUAUUACCGAAGUUGACUUGGCGAAAUGUGAUUCGCCUGUUUCUUUUUUAUUUUUUUCAUUUUCCAAUGAAUGUAUGACAAAUGUUAUUUGUAAACAUUUUCUGUCAAAAUUGUUUGUAUUUGUAGCAAGAUUAAAUAAUUUAUGUGGUAAUUGACUUGUUUAUCUACUGCGUGUAGGAAUGACAAUUAGCUCGAGCUGUUCGUGGUUCGGCCCGAAAAAAGUUCGAGUUGGCCCGACUCGAGCCUCGGCAGAAUUAAGCCCCAUUUUUGGGGCGAUAGGCCAGCUCAUUUCAAAAAAAGCCGGGGGCGGGGGCGGGGAGAGUUGCCUUUAAAAAAAAAAAAAAGAACGAGUCGGUUCAGCUCGGUAUGGCUAGAGCCAAAAACUUGGGUCGAGCCUCGAAUUUUUGGUUAAGCUUUUGCUCAAUUCAGCUUAGGUCAAAAAAAAUCUAUCUUAAUUUUACAUGAGUCGAGCUCAAGUCUCGAGUUUGGACUUGGCGCGGCUCGUUGACAUCACUAACUGCGUGUGUAAUUCGUUGUACAGACUUUCGAUUUGAGAUGGCAAAAAG
rnacentral:lncRNA from 1 species